CACGGAGUUAGCCGGAGCUUAUUCGCCGGGUACCGUCAAACGACCAGAUUAUUCACCUGAUCGCAUUUCUUCCCCGACAAAAGGAGUUUACAACCCAAGGGCCUUCAUCCUCCACGCGGCGUCGCUUGGUCAGGGUUUCCCCCAUUGCCAAAGCCUCUCGACUGCUGCCUCCCGUAGGAGUCUGGGCCGUAUCUCAGUCCCAGUGUGGCUGACCAUCCUCUCAGACCAGCUACCCAUCGUCGCCUUGGUGGUCUUUUACACCGCCAACUAGCUAAUGGGACGCGAAGCCAUCUUCAACCGGUAGCUUAUAAAUAGAGGCCACCUUUGACCUCAGGGCCAUGCGACCCCGUGGUCUCAUGCGGUAUUAGCACCCCGUUGGGAGUGUUAUCCCCCUGUUGAACGGCAGGUUCUUCACGCGUUACUCACCGUUCGCCACUCUACUCGAGGGAUUGCUCCCUCUUUCGCGUUCGACUUGCAUGCCUAAUCCACGCCGCCAGCGUUCGUUCUGUAGCCAGGACUCGUAAA
rnacentral:rRNA from 1 species